rnacentral:lncRNA from 1 species
GGAUUUCCAGGUUACAAGAGGACCCACCUGUGGGUGUCAGUGGCGCACCAUCUGAAAACAACAUCAUGCAGUGGAAUGCAGUUAUAUUUGGACCAGAAGGGACACCUUUUGAAGAUGGUACUUUUAAACUAGUAAUAGAAUUUUCUGAAGAAUAUCCAAAUAAACCACCAACUGUUAGGUUUUUAUCCAAAAUGUUUCAUCCAAAUGUGUAUGCUGAUGGUAGCAUAUGUUUAGAUAUCCUUCAGAAUCGAUGGAGUCCAACAUAUGAUGUAUCUUCUAUCUUAACAUCAAUUCAGUCUCUGCUGGAUGAACCGAAUCCUAACAGUCCAGCCAAUAGCCAGGCAGCACAGCUUUAUCAGGAAAACAAACGAGAAUAUGAGAAAAGAGUUUCGGCCAUUGUUGAACAAAGCUGGAAUGAUUCAUAAUAGACAACUGGUCUGUUAAUCUUUUUCAUCAUUGUUGUGUAUAAUUUACCUCUCAUUAGAAAGGCUAACAAAUUUUAAGUGCCACAGGUUUUAAGGAUUCUGCAGAAAAAAAAGAAAAAAGUCCUUCAGUUUAGAACCUACAAAAGCUUGUGUAUCUUGAUUAAUGUACUUUUUAUUGCAUGGUGUGAACUAAGUUAUUGCUGCAUAAAUUUGUAAUAUAUCCUGUUUGUAUUUUUUUCCAAGUGUAUAAUGUUGGUGUGGAGUUUUCAUGACAGAAUAUACACAUUUUGUAAAUCUGUACUUUUUUCAAAUAUUGAAUGCCUUAUUUUUGAAUUCUUUAGAUUUUUAAAUUGGAGAAAAGCACUUAAAGUUUUUUAUAUAUGAAUAUUACAUGUAAAGCUGUUAAAAUACAUAACUUCAGUGC